rnacentral:tRNA from 1 species
GGGAUUGUAGUUCAAUCGGUCAGAGCACUUGUAUAUCAAGGAGGAAGCUGCGGGUUCGAUUCCCGUCAGUUUCG